rnacentral:rRNA from 1 species
GACGAACGCUGGCGGCGUGCUUAACACAUGCAAGUCGAACGGAAAGGCCCUGCUUUUGUGGGGUGCUCGAGUGGCGAACGGGUGAGUAACACGUGAGUAACCUGCCCUUGACUUUGGGAUAACUUCAGGAAACUGGGGCUAAUACCGGAUAGGAGCUCCUGCUGCAUGGUGGGGGUUGGAAAGUUUCGGCGGUUGGGGAUGGACUCGCGGCUUAUCAGCUUGUUGGUGGGGUAGUGGCUUACCAAGGCUUUGACGGGUAGCCGGCCUGAGAGGGUGACCGGCGACAUUGGGACUGAGAUACGGCACAGACUACUACGGGAGGCAGCAGUGGGGAAUAUUGCACAAUGGGCGGAAGCCUGAUGCAGGAACGCGGCGUGCGGGAUGACGGCCUUCGGGUUGUAAACCGCUUUCGCAUGUGACGAAGCGUGAGUGACGGUAAUGGGUAAAGAAGCACCGGCUAACUACGUG